GACGAACCGUGCGAGCGUUGUUCGGAAUCACUGGGCUUAAAGGGCGCGUAGGCGGGCUGUCAAGUCUGGGGUGAAAUGCCGCGGCUCAACCGUGGAACUGCCUCAGAUACUGACGGCCUCGAGGAAGGUAGGGGCAUGCGGAACUGUAGGUGGAGCGGUGAAAUGCGUUGAUAUCUACAGGAACUCCGGUGGCGAAAGCGGCGUGCUGGACCUUUUCUGACGCUGAGGCGCGAAAGCUAGGGGAGCAAACGGG
rnacentral:rRNA from 1 species